AGCUGCACCUGAUUUUGCUUCGAGGAGCCACCCAGCACCCGCUGUGUGCAGCCUUGGAGAGGCACCGGCACCAACAGCCGAGGUGCCCCCCUUUCCAGGGACCAGGGUUUGGCAUGUGACUCUGCCACGCCAAUCAGAUUCUCCCUUGGGAAUUUGCAUCUUGGAUAGACAGAAAGCCGUGGACGUUGACUCAUCCCUGCAGCAACUCCCUAUCCAGACCCUCCGUAAGUUCCUGCUACCCGGGUCCUGCCUCAGUCCCUGGACAUUCUGAAAUGGAUUCUUCCGAUUCUGAUUCUGCAGAAGCGGCACUCUCUGGGAUGCUAUAACAGAGCAUGACGCAAGGGAGAAAGGUGUUUUUCUACACUGUCCCACAAACCAUCCUUUUAGCACCCCAAGAAAUUCAGGCCAUUGCUGACAGUGCCUGAGUGAGGUGAUGGUGCCCAGCAGAGCCGGGUGUCGUCAGGGCUGCACGGCCACAGCAGCAGCCAUUGGCCACACGGGGCUAUGCAAAUCCCUGAACCAGACUUUCCUCUACACUGGCUGACCUUCUUAUCUCUUCCAAUGGCUUCAGUUAGCAGGUUUGAGAUGGAAUGGCCCCGAACUUUAUCUCCACCAGCUUGUCUCUUCUGAACUGCAGACCCAGAUAUCAAACCGACCCCUGCAUAUGACCACUGGCUGUCUCUCAGGGUGCCCUCAGAGUGACUCUGAACUCGGCAGCUCCCUCCUCUGGACACCUCCAGGCUCAGUCCCCAUCCCCACAGAGAGCAGCAGCAUCCAGGACAGUUGGUCUAAAUCUGGCCCAUCUGCCUCCAUCAUUGCCAGUACCUGUUAGUGCCCUCCUCUCGCACCUGUGCUGCUGCACGCUGCCACCCUGCCGCUCCCUCCUUGUCCAGCCUUGCCACGCUGCCCCCUGCCCCGCCACAUUCGGCCUAAUCAUAUACACACUGAACCUUGCAAAAUGUAUCUCUGUGUUCGUCACUUCCCUAUGGAAAACUCUGAUUGGUCACUAUUGCCCUUAAAUAAAGUCCAAAAUCCUCAGCAGAGUUUACAAGCAGCUCUGUAAUGUGACUAACUGGUCCACGUUAGCAGGGGCUUCCCAAUUUUAGCACUGACCGCCUGAGUUCUCCUGAGUCACCAUUCUCUACUCUCCAUUCCCCAGCCCCGCCCCCAGCUCACACUCUUUUCACCCCGUCUGUCACCUGGGGCCUUCCCGUUGGCAGUCCUCCUGUGUCCCACUGAGAACACUCUUUGCCCCAUCCCUGUGCCUUUUUCACUUUGAAAUCCCCUUUCAACUGGUCUCUCAGUUGAAAGAAGACUUCUUCCAGGUUGUCUUCCUGGACACCUGGGGCGGAUGACUCACCCCGCUGAGCCACUCUCUAGUUCCCCUGGCGACACCCACCAAAAUGCAUUACUUCAAUCCCUGGGUUAUUUGGAGGCUUCCCUCUGUGCCUUUAAGUGGUACAGCCAGGGGCUGAAUCGUCCUUGCUCCCUGUUGUCACCUGUUGUCACCUAGCACAAUUGCCUGCUGCAGAUUUCAGUGGGGAUUUUGGAUGAGUCGUGAUUCACACAGGCACAGCCUAUACACAGAACAUGUGCAUGUCUGUUGUUUUGGCUCAUAAACAGGCAGUCGAAGAAAGAGAAAAACAACUGGCUUGUAAACACAUGAUAAAAUGUUGACUAUCACUCAGUAUUAAAUAGAUACAGAUUAAAACAAUCAUGAGAUUCACUUUUUACCUACCAGAAUCAUAAAGCUCGCCAAGUGGGAGGAGGUGAUCAGGCCAGUGGGUGAGCCCCCCACUGGGGUAGGGAUGUAAUCUGCAAGAGUCCUGGAAGAGCAACGUGGCAAUCUUUACCAAAGCUUUAACUGCACAUUUUUUUUGACAAUUUUACUCCUGGAAAUGUAUCCUACAAAUAUUCUUAGAUAUUUGUACAGGGAAAACCAUAGAAAAAUAUUGAACAGGUCAUUGUAACCAAUGAGAAAAUAAAUGUGGGAAAAUACCCCACCUAUCCAUCAAAAGGAGACUUGGUUAAAUAAACCAGGGAAGUCCUUCUAAGGGAGUAUCAUGAAGGAAUUUUUCAAUUAGGUAGAUUUACAUAUGCUCACAUGAAGCAAUCCUCAAAGGGGAUGGGGUAUGAAAAAGUAAGGUCCACAAUGUGUUUAUUUUUAGUUGUGAUUUUUAAAGGGAAAUAUGCAUAUGUGUUCAUAUACAUAAAAUAUUUCUGGAAGAAUAAACAUGAAAUUCUUAGCAGUAAUUACCUCUGGGAAGAGAGACUUGGGAUCUGGGACAGGAGAGAAACUUAUUCAUUCUAUAUUCUCUUUUAAGUG